UGAGGAGAGCAGCGUCCUCUGUAAGCCUCAACCCCACACCCCUCUCCUCCCCUCCCUAAAGCCUCUGUCACUGUCUCGCCCUGAGGAGCCCCGCACAGGAUUUCAUGGCCUCUCCGCUGAUGACUGAGCAGGGGCUUUUCUUAGUGGCCAGGAGGAUGGAGGGAUCUGUAAUUAUGCAGAAUAUGCCCAAGAAUCAAAACUGCCCUGUGUUCCCAGAGGAUGGGCCAGAGAAUCGAGAAGGUCCUGUGUUCCCAGAGGACGGGCCAGAGACUCAAAAAGUCCAGUGUCCUCUGAGAAAGGAAAUGCUGCAGAUUUCAACGAAACUGUGAGCAGAGAGGAACUACUCAACAUGAAGAAGGUGGCAAAAUCUGGCUGCUGGUGAUUUGCACUGACUGGUACAAGAAGAGAAACUGAGAAGAGGAAAUAAAGGGCUUCCCUGGCCUACCCACUCAUUCAGGGGAGGAAAGGGCUUUAUGUCCAUGGGAGCUGGUGGGAGGGGAAAUGGAUGGAGACAUGGCUCUGUGCUCUCUCACACUGAACCUGUCAGUCAGCACAGCUGAGCUACCGUGGGGUUCUGGUGAUUUGCUACCACCCUUGCAUUGUGGCUGACUCGGCCUAUUUUCUUAUCAAGGUUUCUUAUCAAGAGCUUGCAUUUGCACUGGCCUCUGAAUGAUUUUAUUGUACAUCAUCAGGACUUGCUCACAUUUCUCAUGUCUGCUGUUGCUAUGUAUGAGUUUUACUGGGGAUAAAUUGGAAUUUGUUCAAAAAUUCAUAUGAAAUCAAAAUGGCCAUGGAGUUAACAGUAGAGUUGCAAAUAUGGCAGUUGAAUGGCUGGCAACCUCCUUCAGUGAUAUACAUAGAUUCACAGAUUUUCAGUGCCAGGAGGGAUCAUUGUGUUCAUCUGGCCUAACCUCAUCCAUAAAACAAGCCAUAGCACUUCCCUAAAUUAAUUCAUGUCAAGUGCAAGAGCUGUUGUGAAUUAGAGCAGAUCUUUUUGAAAAACAUCCAAACUUGUUUUAAAAAUUGCCAGGGAUGUAAAAUCCAUCACAAUCCUUGGGAUGUUGUUUCAAUGGUUAAUUAGCCUGAUCACUCAAUGAUUGCAUUGUUCUGUUCAU